CCCUUAGAUGUUCUGGGCUGCACGCGUGUUACAAUCGGGAGUACAACAAGAUUGCAAAUCCUAGUGGAUGAGUGGUUCUUCGAAAUUUUCUGAAGACUGGGAUAGUUGAUUGAAAUUAUUCAACUCAAACGAGGAAUUCCUUGUAAUUGUAAUUCAUUAUAUUGUAAUGAAUACGUCCCUGCCCUUUGUACACACCCCCGUCGCUCCUACCGAUUGAACGAUCCGGUGAAUUAUUUGGAGUAGCUCUGGAAGUUGCAGAACUUCCUAUGUCACGAAAUUUUGUAAACCUUAUCGUUUAGAGGAAGGAAAAGUCGUAACA
rnacentral:rRNA from 1 species